rnacentral:rRNA from 1 species
AAAGCUCAAAUUUAAAAUCUGGUGGUCUCCGGCCAUCCGAGUUGUAAUCUAGAGAAGUGUUACCCGCGUCGGACCGUGUACAAGUCUCCUGGAAUGGAGCGUCAUAGAGGGUGAGAAUCCCGUCUUUGACACGGACCCCCGAGGCUUUGUGGUGCGCUCUCAAAGAGUCGAGUUGUUUGGGAAUGCAGCUCAAAAUGGGUGGUAAAUUCCAUCUAAAGCUAAAUACAGGCGAAAGACCGAUAGCGAA